AUUGAACGCUGGCGGCAGGCCUAACACAUGCAAGUCGAGCGGAUGAAGGGAGCUUGCUCCUGGAUUCAGCGGCGGACGGGUGAGUAAUGCCUAGGAAUCUGCCUGGUAGUGGGGGAUAACGUCCGGAAACGGGCGCUAAUACCGCAUACGUCCUGAGGGAGAAAGUGGGGGAUCUUCGGACCUCACGCUAUCAGAUGAGCCUAGGUCGGAUUAGCUAGUUGGUGGGGUAAAGGCCUACCAAGGCGACGAUCCGUAACUGGUCUGAGAGGAUGAUCAGUCACACUGGAACUGAGACACGGUCCAGACUCCUACGGGAGGCAGCAGUGGGGAAUAUUGGACAAUGGGCGAAAGCCUGAUCCGGCCACGCCGCGCGUGUGAAGAAGGUCUUCGGAUUGUAAAGCACUUUAAGUUGGGAGGAAGGGCAGUAAGUUAAUACCUUGCUGUUUUGACGUUACCAACAGAAUAAGCACCGGCUAACUUCGUG
rnacentral:rRNA from 1 species